UACGUAGGGUGCAAGCGUUGUCCGGAAUCAUUGGGCGUAAAGCGCGCGCAGGCGGCCCGAUAAGUCCGCUGUGAAAGUCAACGGCUCAACUGUUGAAAGCCGGUGGAUACUGUCGGGCUAGAGUACGGAAGAGGCAAGUGGAAUUCCUGGUGUAGCGGUGGAAUGCGCAGAUAUCAGGAGGAACACCUAUAGCGAAGGCAGCUUGCUGGGACGUUACUGACGCUGAGGCGCGAAAGCGUGGGGAGCGAACAGG
rnacentral:rRNA from 1 species